CUUUUUUAAAUUUGGAUGAGGUGUUAGCCUGUUGAGAAUAUCAUCUUGUAUAGCAUCAUGACUAAUCCCCCGACUCCAAUUCAAGGAUAACUCAUCAAGGUAUUUCUUAUCCUUCAUUUUCGCCUGCAAUGCAUCCUCAACACCCACCACAUUCUCCAUUUUUGAAAUUUCAAGUCUUCCUCGAAUCUCUGAAAGCUUCCACAAUUCUCCAAAUCUGAAUCCACUUUCUUUGCCCACAGUAAAAUUAGAUAAUUUCUGCAAACUUUUUAAUUGACCUAUAUCAUUUGGCAUUUCUUCCAAUGAAUUAGACCCACUAAUAUCAAGAUAGCGCAAAUUAAUCAACUUCCCCAUUUUUGAAGGCAAUUCAAGAAGAGAAUCACAAUUACUCAGCAUCAUCGUUUGCAAAUUGCACAAACAACAUAUUGAUUCAGGUAAUCUUUUAAUCCAUGUUGUAGAGAGAUCCAAGUAACGCAACUGUUUUAAAUUGUGUAUUGAAUCAGGCACAUCUCUUAUGCAGUAUGCACGCAAUGACAACACCCGCAAAGAUUUAAAUUUUGGUAAUAUAUUGUGUAAAACUCUUGUACUCAACAAAUAAGGAGGCCAUGAUGUCUUCACCUCUAAGAUUGUUCUGAGAUGUUUGGCUUCAC
rnacentral:lncRNA from 1 species